rnacentral:tRNA from 1 species
UUGGUAGAAGCCAAAUAGAGGCUUAUCCCUGUUAAUGAUACAAUUGAAUUUAUUUCCUACCAAG